rnacentral:piRNA from 1 species
UUUAGCUACCACCGGAAAUUA